AGGGGUGUGCAUUACAGUUGAAGAGAGGAGCCAGAGGGGUUGUAGAGGAAUUGUCUCAGAGAACAUGUCCAUGGGGCAAAAGCCCAGUCUCAUCAUGAGGAAAACAUACGCCAAAGCCUAAUUGAGGAACACUCUACAAAACACCUGAUCGGUAUUCCUCAAAGCUCUCAAGUCCAUCAAAAUCAAGGAAAGUCUGAGAAACUUGCAGACAAGAGGAGCCUAAGGAGACACAACUACUAAAUGUAAUGUAUCCUCGAUGAGAACCUGGAACAGAAAGGAAAGUCUGAGAAACUUGCAGACAAGAGGAGCCUAAGGAGACACAACUACUAAAUGUAAUGUAUCCUCGAUGAGAACCUGGAACAGAAAAAAAGACAGUUACCAACAUCUGCAAUGGAUUCUUUUGAGUGUGACAUUCAGAGUACCUCAUUACAAAGUUAUGUUAAUGCAAAAUUAGUUUUCUUUCAACAUAAGUAUUCAGUUAUAAUUAUAAAUAUAAAUUCCUGAGUAGCUGUGGUCUCUGGGCCUCAAAUUUAUAUGAGACUGUAGAACCCACAGAGAUUAACUGAAGACUCCCCUCUGCCAUUUUUUUUAACAACCGUCAAUGGAAACAAAUAAAAUGUCACAGUUAACACAUCCAGAACCAAACUGUUUGGAUAUCAUUUUGGUCUUUGAAAGGU